rnacentral:rRNA from 1 species
UGGGGAAUAUUGCGCAAUGGAGAAGAACUCUGACGCAGCAAUACCGCGUGAGCGAAGAAGGUCUUCGGAUCGUAAAGCUCUGUUAUCAGGGAAGAAGAAAAUGACGGUACCUGAUGAGCAAGUCCCGGCUAACUACGUGCCAGCAGCCGCGGUAAUACGUAGGGGACAAGCGUUGUCCGGAAUCACUGGGCGUAAAGGGCGCGCAGGCGGUGAUUUAAGCAGGAUGUGAAAGGCUACGGCUCAACCGUAGACAUGCACCCUGAACUGGGUCACUUGAGUAUUGGAGAGGCAGGCAGAAUUCCUGGUGUAGCGGUGAAAUGCGUAGAUAUCAGGAGGAAUACCGGAGGCGAAGGCGGCCUGCUGGACAAAUACUGACGCUGAGGCGCGAAAGCGUGGGGAGCAAACAGG